UACGAAUGGGGCAAGCGUUGUUCGGAAUCACUGGGCUUAAAGAGUACGUAGGCGGAUUUGCAAGUCAGGAGUGAAAUCCAGGGGCUCAACCUCUGAAUUGCUCUUGAAACUGCAAAUCUAGAAUCCGAUAGAGGUCAGGAGAAUUCCUAGUGUAGAGGUGAAAUUCGCAGAUAUUAGGAGGAAUACCAGUGGCGUAGGCGCCUGACUGGGUCGGUAUUGACGCUGAGGUACGAAAGCGUGGGGAGCAAACAGG
rnacentral:misc_RNA from 1 species